AGUGAACGCUGGCGGUAUGCCUAACACAUGCAAGUCGAACGGCAGCACAGUAAGAGCUUUCUCUUACGGGUGGCGAGUGGCGGACGGGUGAGGACUACAUCGGAAUCUACUUUCUCGUGGGGGAUAACGUCGGGAAACUUACGCUAAUACCGCAUACGACCUACGUGUGGAAUCAGGGGAUCUUCGGACCUUGCGCGUUUGAAUGAGCCGAUGUCGGAUUAGCUAGUGUGCGGGGUAAAGGCCCGCCAAGGCGACGAUGCGUAGCUGGGCUGAGAGGAUGAUCAGCGACACAGGAACUGAGAGACGGGCCACACUCCUACGGGAGGCAGAAGUGGGGAAUAUUGGGCAAUGGGCGCAAGCAUGAUCCAGCCAUACCGCGUGGGUGAAGAAGGCCUUCGGGUUGUAAAGCCCUUUUGUUGGGAAAGAAAAGCAGCAGGUUAAUACCCCACUGUUCUGACGGUACCGAAAGAAUAAGCACCGGCUAACUUCGU
rnacentral:rRNA from 1 species